rnacentral:rRNA from 1 species
UAGGGAAUCUUCGGCAAUGGGGGGAACCCUGACCGAGCAACGCCGCGUGAGUGAAGAAGGUUUUCGGAUCGUAAAGCUCUGUUGUUAAGGAAGAACGAGUGUGAGAAUGGAAAGUUCAUGCUGUGACGGUACUUAACCAGAAAGGGACGGCUAACUACGUGCCAGCAGCCGCGGUAAUACGUAGGUCCCGAGCGUUGUCCGGAUUUAUUGGGCGUAAAGCGAGCGCAGGCGGUUAGAGAAGUCUGAAGUGAAAGGCAGUGGCUCAACCAUUGUAGGCUUUGGAAACUGUUUAACUUGAGUGCAGAAGGGGAGAGUGGAAUUCCAUGUGUAGCGGUGAAAUGCGUAGAUAUAUGGAGGAACACCGGUGGCGAAAGCGGCUCUCUGGUCUGUAACUGACGCUGAGGCUCGAAAGCGUGGGGAGCGAACAGG